CGAAUUGGAUGUCUAACCUCGGUCCGUGAUCCGGAUCAGGGACAGUGUCAGGUGGGUAGUUUAACUGGGGCGGUUGCCUCCCAAAAUGUAACGGAGGCGCCCAAAGGUUCCCUCAGCCUGGUUGGCAAUCAGGUGUCGAGUGCAAGUGCACAAGGGAGCUUGACUGUGAGACCGACGGGUCGAGCAGGAGCGAAAGCUGGGACUAGUGACCCGGCACUGGCAUGUGGAAGCGGUGUCGCUCAACGGAUAAAAGGUACCCCGGGGAUAACAGGCUGAUCUUCCCCAAGAGUCCAUAUCGACGGGAUGGUUUGGCACCUCGAUGUCGGCUCGUCGCAUCCUGGGGCUGGAGUAGGUCCCAAGGGUUGGGCUGUUCGCCCAUUAAAGCGGUACGCGAGCUGGGUUUAGAACGUCGUGAGACAGUUCGGUCCCUAUCCGCCGUGCGCGUAAGAGACUUGAGAAGAGCUGUCCCUAGUACGAGAGGACCGGGACGGACGAACCUCUGGUGUGCCAGUUGUACCGCCAGGUGCACUGCUGGUUAGCUACGUUCGGCAGGGAUAACCGCUGAAAGCAUCUAAGCGGGAAGCUCGCUUCAAGAUGAGGUCUCUCACCGGGUUAACCGGGUAAGGCCCCCGCCCAGACCAGCGGGUUGAUAGGCCGGAAGUGGAAGCAUCGCAAGGUGUGGAGCUGACCGGUACUAACAGGCCGAGGGCUUGACCACACACAA
rnacentral:rRNA from 1 species